rnacentral:lncRNA from 1 species
AUGAGGACCAUGUAGCCCGAGGUCUUCCAUCCCCAAGGAAGGAUGAGUACCCAAGAAGUGGGGUGUACAGAGUGGUUAUAUACCCUCAAAGAGCAUGUUUCACAUAUGAAGGAAAUGUCCCCUUUACAGCAGUCACGAGACUGCUCUGUCAGCACAGCAAUGGAUGGACACAGCAAGUUGUAGGGCGCUGUCUCAGUGGACACAGCAGGGUGGCAGGUCUGUUGUCUAGAGCUGGGUGAUCACAGGAUGAGUGCAGCAAUUAGUUCCUAGCCUGAGGAGAGAUGCUUACCCUUAAGGAAAUGCAAAUGUCGGGGAAGUUGCACCUUCAUCUUAAGGGCAUUUGUUCUUGCCUUUGGGACACAGCAAAUGCUUAAGCAGAUGUACAAUGCAUGCUCAUCGGCCGCGCCAGGCCCUUUUGGAAAAACACAGUCAGGCUGAAUUAGGUUUAUACCAAAUGCUUUCCUCAUACACUCCAAUCUCCUAUUGCUUGCCAUUUAUUUGUCACAGGUCAAACCUGUCACUUCAGCCAGGCCUGCAUUCAGCAAAUCAUGAAGGUGACAAACAUCUCCCAGGACCCCUGACCACCCUCCCCUGCUCACAAGUCUGGCCCUGGGUUUGGAAGGGAUGUCAGAAGGCAAAUUGUCACCCCUGACCCCCUCCCUGGCCACCUUUGACCUCAGCCACUGCCUGGCCACGCCCAGUGACAGUUGCAACUGCCAUUGGUGGGCAGUUUAGAACUCCGCAGGGCAGGGCAGGGCCAGAGACACCAGCCCACACUGAGGGCCCAGCUGCAUGGCUUAACCAUGGACCCUGCUCAGCUGAGGCCCUCUCAUCGCUGCCCACGGGUCAGGUAGGGCCGCUGAGGGACUUGAAUGCGGUCAUGGGUGUCCAGCUGUCCUUGGAUCCUCAGGACACUGUCAGAGGUGUCACCACCAGGGACGAAAGUCCACACCACUGGGAGGAUGGCCGGCCUCCUUCCCAACAACCCUGAAUAACCUACGGGGACUGUUGCCUCCAAAUGAGGCGGACACGGGGGCUUCUUCCACCUGUAAUCCAGAGGGACUUUUCACAGCCCCAUGAGGUGGCAAGGUGGCUCACCAUGUAGAGGGCACGACACAGUGUCCAGCACCAGACAAUGCCCGGUGACCAUCCACGUGGCUCACUGAGAGUGUCCAGCUGGAGGCACAGCCGGCUGAGCAGGGCUCUGCUCUCGGGGGACGGGUCUGCCGUGUCCUCCCUGGGGUGAGUGUCGUGUGGAGGCCCCCGGGAGGGACUCUCACCCUGCCCGUGAGAGAGAACGGCUGCAGCCCCUCCAGGACUGUGGGGGCGCCUGUGCUGACCCCUUGGGUCUGCUCAGAAACCGCUUCAUCCCUGCCUGUGGGAAGUGGUGGUUCUGCCUGUGGCCGCCCCCUCUGUGGGCCUCGCACCCGGAAGCAGAGAAGGCGUCGCCCUGUAUCCCCCACUCCCAGAAGAGACGCGGAGACACUCGCUUCCUGAGCCAGAUGGUCACCCAUCCUUCUGGGCCCAGGAGGCGGCUGAGAGCUCGGCCCUGAGUCAUGCCAGCCAGGACGGAGUCCCGCAGAGGCUGUUCCCGCCCGCCACUUGUGGGGUCUGUCGUUCCGGCUCGGCCCUUAUUCCACUUGGAAGCCUGGACUUCCCUGCUGGUUUCUGCCCUCCAUUCCUGCGCAGCUGGGCCCCUCCGCAAGGAGAACAAUUGCAGUCAGUGAUGUGACUUGGGAGGUGCUGGCAAGGCCUCCCCCAUGGUGUUACUUCCCUGGGAGCUGCCGCAGUGCAGGCCCCCACAAGAGCGUGGUGUGCAUUGCUCGUCAGCGUGCUCACCACCAACACCGCCACUUCGCCCCUGAGCCUCUCUCUGCACCUGCUUCCUUCUUUUCGCAUGUUCCACAUGUUUACCAAACAAGGACAGCCUGGCCUCCCAGGGAUGGAGGCACAGGCAGCCCCUUGCUAGGCCAGGAAUGGAGACCUGGAACCAAGCAGUGCCCCUGGCAUGUUCUACUCGUGUCCACCAGCUCUGGGCGCCUUGGGAUGUUGACCACAGUGUCACGCUCCGUCUGCCUGCCCCAUCUCACUGUUGCAACCGUGCGGCCAGACUAACCUCGUAAAAAAUGCAAGAUCAGGAGACACCACUGCUCAAAGCCUCCAUGUCACACAGACACUCACAUUUGAACUCGUGUCCUGCUUGGUGGUCCCCAGGCAGGAGACAGGACGUGCAAGCGCUGAGCAGUCAGCUCGUCCCCGGGCGGAGUAACAGAUUUGUGGGGUCCACGGCCCACGAAGCACAGAGGCCAGAGGAACCCUUGACCACCUCCCAGUUUGUCCCAUUAGUCCCCUUGCUGACCCUCUCCAGACAGUGGCCCCCAGGAUGACGCACGAGCCGAUCUCCCCUGUGGCCGGAUCCUUGGAUUUUCUGUCGCCUUCUUUCUAAUCUUGCCUGUGAUUAUCCUUGGAACCCGCUGACAAACACUUAAUAGCUGUUCCUUUAAACACUGUAAAGGGUAGAUUUCCAGCCCCAGGCCACCCUUGGCACUUAGAGUGCCCUCGUAUGUUCAUCACAACCUUCAAUCUUAGAAGGUCGGAGCUUGACAAGCCUCCCUAAAUCUCCUGGCCGAGCUGUGGGACAAAGUGGAGCCCGCCUUCCUCUCAGCUGGCCCAGGGGGAAUCCGGGCUUCAGCGAAGAAUUCAAGCUGCAGGGCACAGAUCCAGCAGCUGGAGGACGGUCCAUGCACAGGCUAAAGGGAAAAGCCGCCCCUGCCUCCAGGACAGCGCCAGCGGCACGUGGACACGCAGAUCAGGGGGCAGCAAGCCCCGCGAAUGCAGCCUGCUGCCGCCUUUGUGAAUAAAGCUUCCUUGGGACACACCCUAGCCCAUGCAUCUCCACGGCGUCUCCGGCUGUCCUCACACGACCACAGCAGAGCUGACGAGUUGCAAAGGAGGCUGAAAGUGUUAACUUCUGGCCUUUGUGGAAACAGUCUGCUGACCGCUGACGUAGACCCCAGGUCCAUGGCUGCGACAAGGACUGGCAGUCUUCUUGUUUCUGAUGAUUGCCUGUGCUGCAGACGUGCAGUUCAACGACCCCCCAGCUCCUCCUACCCCAAAAGGGCAGAACUCACUCCCUCUGGUCCAACGACAGACACGGUUCUACAGAUGACCUUGCGAGAAGGCAGGAUUACGAGAAAGCACAGCUGUGACAUCACAGGUGUCUGUUUCCUCGGCUCCCACAUGCCCCUAUCCAGAAGGGGGCACUGAGAGAGGAGCAGCCUUCCCCACCGUCACAGGCACUGGCCCUCCAGCCUGGUCCCCAGCUAGCACCUGCGACUGUGCCCCAGCAUCCCCACCCCAGCCCACCUGGACGACCCCGUCGUGUUGCCCAGCAACAGCUCCAGCCCCGCUUCCCCCUAGCCCCCUUCCCGAUAGAGAUGAUGGAGAUGCUGUCAUCUAACUGCCUCACUCUUGACAACCCCCAACCCAGAGCAAAUGCCUGCCUCCUUGGUCUCUGCCCUGGGUCACCUCCCACCUGCCCAGAUGCUAUAAGGAGUCACUCCUGAGAUGCCUCCUUCUGCCCAGCUCCCCCAGAUGUGGGCUGCAGUGAGUAAUAAACCCCGAGCUUGCUGGUGACAGGUGUCUCCUGGUGGUCUUUGGCCGUGGCCUUGUUACAGGUGACGCUUUUAUCAAAGGUGUCGCCACUACACAUCCCGGGCAGCCAUUUAUCCUGUCCCUCGAGCGGCUUUCUCAUUUGCAGGCCCCACAGCGAUGCCCCACAACUCAGGCCGUUCCUGGGGCUCCCCGGGCCAGGCAACACUUCCCCGAGUCUGAGGCGGAGCCACCGUAGCAUUUUGGCUGGGAGACAGUGACCCUCCAGGACAACAUUAGGCCUCUUGGACUGACCUCAAUGUCACAGACAGAGGGACCGAGGCCUGUGGUGCCUGCACCCACAGGGGCCUCCAGCGAGUCCAGAGCCCAUCUCUCAGGGUCACUCAGAGGGAGAGCGCAGGCAGGGUGGGUCUGUCCCUGUCCUCUGCUCAGGUUGGCUCUUUGAGGGAGUCCUAGAAAUCUUAUCUAGGAAAGGAGAUGCCCGAGGGAGUGCCCACCCUGGCCCCUCCCUUUCCCCAGCCAGGGAGUUGCCCCCAGGAGCCCCGGCCAGGCCAGCAGAUGGUGCUCUGGCUCCGGUUCCCACCGGCCGGCCACGCUGGCACCCUGAUGUGGGACUUCCAGUCUCCAGAACUGUAAGCAAUCCAUGCCUGCUGUUUAUAAGCCAACAGGCUGCGGUGUUCUGUCAUAGCAGCGUGGACAGACUACAGUCCUAGAGUGGGACACACGCCUGGAGGGUCACAGGGACGCAGGACCGGCCUGGACCCCCCAGGCCCCUGCUGUAGAAUCCUCAGGCCCCCUGCCCCGAGGCUGAGCGAUGCCGCUGGGGUCUCCCCACCUGCCUGCCUGUGGGGCUUUGCCGAGCAGGCUACUGUGUCCUGUUGCUUUGAGUCAGCGAGGAUUCAUACUCCCUUCGUAAACUACCGAAAGCUUUAGUCACGCUGGGCGCAACUGGGUGUGGAGAGGCAGAUGUGCUCGGGGGGCUGGGUCCCCCCACAGGAAUGUCUGGCCCCCCCAUCCACCCCCUCCCUUCCAGCGCCCCGGAAGUCGCCCCCGGCUCUCUUUCGAGAGACCGAACCCCUCUUUGGGAAGAGGAAAAGGAUUGGACCAGCCCUCCCCAGCCCCACAGAGCGCAAAACCGUCAGACGGGGGACGUGUCACCUUGCGACCCUCUGGGCCCACCUAGGACAAGGAAAGGAGGGGAGGCAGCUGGGUGGGGCCUGACGCCAAGGGGACCUGGGCGGGGCUCCGGCGACCUGGCCCCUCCCUUCCAUGCCCAGACUGUCGCCCCGCUGGCCAGUGUUGUCCAGCCUGUCCAAGCUGGGUGUUGGAUGCCUGUCUGGGACUAAGAUGAGCAGAGCUAAGGACAGCGACACUGGCCUCCGCUCCAGGGCAUGAGGCACAAAGACAACAUAACCUACAUGACCUGCGCCUGCCUAGUGGGAGUGUCGUUGAGAAGAGACAGGACCCCUUGCGCAAUCCCGCCCCCUGUUCUCCCAAGGCGCCUUCUCUGGGGACAGAGGGUCACUCAGCUGCAAUCUGCAUCCUCAAUGCCUGGAUCCCCUGCCUCCCCCUGCCCCCGUUCCCUCCUGUCCUCACACCCCUCGCACCUGUGCUGGGUUGCCCUAGCUCCUGGAGGGCCCCUUUCUUCCUCCUUAGCUAAGCCCCUCUGGAGUAUCCCACCGAGUCCUCCCACUGUCGCUGCCUCCCUAUCACAGUCCCAGUCCCCGUCCUGGUCACAGUGCCCCAUUGCUGUCCUGGCCCUGGCUGUCCCUCCCUAGGCCCCCCAGAGCUGUCUUCUGUCCUGACCCUGCUGUCCAGUCCCCAGCCUGCAGCACAAGGGGGUGCCAGCCUGCUGCUCGGCCUCCUUGCUCUUCUGAGUCAAACCCUCCUGUGGCUUCCUCCCCACUUCAGAGCACCCACCAAGCCUGCGUCCCUCCUGCAAGGCCCCUGGGAUCCGACCUGACCCACUUCCCACCUUGCUGCUCCUCGUCCCUCCCCGUGAGACUCCAGGGAUGCAGCCCUAUCAGGCUCAGGUGUGUGCAUCUCAGGGCCCAGUGCCUGGACCGCCUUGCCUGGCACACAGCAGGUGUUGGUAAAUACUUGAUGGAUAAGUCAACACUAGGGGCUUGUUGUGCCUAAACUGGGAAAGAGUCAGUGGAAGAGCCUCUGGCAAGUUCCCUGUCUGUGGAUGGUGGCCCCUCCCCGCUGAGUAGGUCUGGUCUGGCUGUCCCCUCAGCCCAGGCAGCCCGCUGUGCCCAACACUGCCUCCAGCCGGGAGGGCCUGGUAUCUCCGAUUCCCUAAAUGGAUCAGUCCUGAAAAGUGACUCGGGGGGCUGCUCCUUGGGGGAAGACACCCUAAGGGGGGCACAAAGGCAGGGAGUGAGGACACAGCAGGCUGGCGAGCCCAUGCUCCUCCAGUCCGAGCCCCAAGGACCCAGGGCCUCUGCGAGGGAGGGUCCCUUGGACCAGCCACAUGCAUAUUCCCAGAGCUGGACCUUGGCUCCCAAGGCUGGAGGCGGAGGGCAGGGCCAGCUGGGAGAGGGCUGGACGUGCCAGCAGCCUCAGAGGUCAUGGCCACCUCCUGGAGACUGGACUGCUUUUCCUCACUGUCCCAAGUGUGCUUGGACAGGUGGAGGCGGAGGGUCUGGCUCUCCAGGGUCACUCACAGCUCAGGGCUCUCUUCCAAGGUGCCACCUCUUCACAGUGACACAGGAAUGCCUGCUUUUCAGGAAGCCCUUCCCUACGCACGGUGUUAGAAUUGGGGGCCAGACUUCAUGCCCCACGGUUUCUGUGGGUGCUGGAAGGAGAAAGAUGCAGGGCGGGGGUCUCUGACAUGGUGUCCCUCCCUCCCCGUAACGGCUCUUACGGCAGCACCACAGAAUCCCCAGGACCCGUCGGGGGCAGAGGAGUGAUGUGGUCAGAUGUGAGGCAGGGAGUGGGCGGGGCUGGAGGGGGCUUGGGCUCCGGGUCCAGUCUGGUCAGUGACAGCCCUGCUCCUGCCUGGGUUUCUGAGUUUCUGAGCAGGAAGGGUGCUUCCUUUUGGGGCCUGUUUCCAGACUUUGAUUUCUUGAGGAAAAUCCUGGUGACUAGCCAAGUGUGGAGAACACUGACGGAGGCCACAAAAGGCUGGAGACUGUGGGUGGCUGCAGGGAGAUGUGAAGUGGGAGGAGAAGGGGCUCUCCCCGCCCCGGGUUACGGAGGGGACCUCUUUGAUCCUCUUUAGGAGCCCAAGUUAAAAAAGUUUUUUAGAGGAAUUCCUUUAAAGUUAUUUAGUGGCUAUGUCUUGUUAAAUGUGACACCCUGCAGCCCUGGGAUCUGUUUCGGUUACAUUUGCAAUGGUUUUAAUGGCUUGAAGAGACAUCCUGAAACUUCCAGUAGAUUUUGGUGUCUAAUCAUAAUCUACAGGUGACAGAAAAAAUAAUGUCUUGAUUUUCUUUAACAUCUCUCCCCAAUACUUGCCCUGGUGCUCAGAGGGUCCCUCCUUUCCUGAGCAUCUUAAUGGGUGGAGGCUAGAGGUUGGAGGUCAACCUGGGUCACUCCUCAUCGAGCUUGAGGGCUGGGGUGCCGGGACACACUGACAAAGGUCUACCACCUGAGAGGCUGGCAUCGCCUGGGGGCAGGCAUAGCAGAGCUUUGGAGAAAAGAUCCGCAUGGUGGUGCUCCUUUAACUUCGUGGUUCAAUUCUACUUGCUGGGGGAUAGCCCCAUCCCCGGGACCCAUAAACUGUCAGAGACAGCAUCAAAUCACGCUAAGAUGAAGCGGCUGUUUCUGGUGGAUACUGUGGAGGAAGGGAGUGAGUUUUGCAUCGGGGGGACUCAGGGCUCCCUGGGCAGCAUGCUGUAGGGCCGUGCGCGGGCCCCUCCUGCCGUGCUCUCCUCAGCUGCCUCCCCCCAGGCGCCCAGGUUGGGUCACCACGCACAGGAGAGCCCCACAUCUAUCCCUGGAAAGGCCGGGGCAUGGCGAGGACGGCCCCCACAUCUUCCUGGAACUCCAUGGCCGUGGAAGAGUAGCCGACAGCAUCCUGGCAGCAGCUGGCGUUGGCCGUGUGAGAAUCAGGCUGUCUGACGGUGACCACCCUCUGGAUGGUGGGGCAGGCCAAAUUUGUCCAUUGGGCCACGAGCUUGGCCAAGAAGGCGACGUGCAGUGGGAGGAAACAGACCGUGAAGGUGGCCAGGUUGGCCGCCACCAUGCAGAGGGCCUUGAGAUGUGGGCUGUGGCUUGGGGCAGCGCCUGUGUUCCCUCACGGAGGAGAUGCCCGAGCACCUGCCCCACACAGAAGCUCAGGAGGAGCCGUGGGAGGAAGAGGAGCUGGGAGAAGCCCUGCCUGAAGGGUGGGGCUCUGCCCGAAGCAGAAGCUGUCUGCUUGUGCGGACGUGGACAGGGCCACCGCCCUGAGGACCAGAAGGUGGGGGCGGCCUGCAGGGGAAGGUGCAGGGUGGAGCCGCGGUCCCCAGCGAUGGCUGGGAUGAGGCACAUGCUCACGGAGGUGCUGAGGUAGUAGGAGCUCUUCGAGACCUGCACAGGCGCCCUCCAGUGUGCUGGACCCCCAGCAGGCUCAGCAGCAGCAGGCAGUCGGCCGCCACCAGGUUGGCCAUGUAGAUGCGGUCCUCCGUCCACCUGCGCAGGCAGCAACAGAAGACGCAGGGCGCCAGGCCGUUGAGUUGCAGGCCCAGCACCAGGAUGAGGCCGAUGGAGCCACUGGUCACCACCUGUGACAGGACACUCCUGUCCAUGCUGCAGCUGUUCGAGCUGUUCCUGGGGACAGCAGCCACAGACACAGUGGCUCAAGCCUGAGACAGGGUGGAAGAUGGUGGGAGCCUCUGCCAGAUGGGAAUGACAGGUGAACUGACGGGCCAGGAGAGCUUCAGCGGGGGCUGGGAGGGAAACGCUGCAGGCCCUCUCUCUGCUCUCCUCCUCCCCACUAACCUUUCUCUCCCCCCCCUCUCCUCCCACUUCCUGGGCCAGCCCGAACAGCAUGGCAUGGUCAUGGUGCCCUCUCCCCUAACCCGAGGGGGCUCCACCGAGGCCCCCUCCAGACUGUGGAUCCGCCACCUCCCCUGCCCCGCUCAGUGUGAUGAGGGACCCCAUGCCUUGGCCUGGUGCCUGGACCUGGGCCAGUGGCAUCCUGCCAGACAAGGGGCUCUGUGAGGGGCUUUUCUCUGGGCCCACAGCCAGGACCUUCUCGGGGUCUGCACCUUGGCCCAGUUAUCUGUCCCCCUAGGCCAUGUGGCCCUGCGAACGGGGCCCCCAGACUCCUCUGGCAGGCAAAGCUGGCCCAUGGUCCUUCCUCGAGAACCCAGGACCCCCACCCACUCUCAGGUCCCCCGUGAGGGACCAGAAGGGGUCUGAAGAUGAGGGAGCCCCCUCCACCAACCUAAUCAGGAGAGCGUGAGGGGCCUGGUACCUCUGUGGUCUGUCUGUCUCCCCAGGCUCCUGUUGGUCUCUCUGCGUCUCACUGUCUCUGUGUGUCUCCCUCACCCCAAGCUUCUCCCGCUCUGCCCUCUUCCUGCUCACUGUCCUCGUCUUUCUUGGGUUUUCUCCCUUUCUCACUCCUCCGUUUAUCGUCUUUCUCCCUCUCAUCUCCGGCUCCCUCUACCCGGUCCCCCCAUCUUUCUCCCUCCCAUCUCUAUCACUGUCCCCCCAGUCUCUCGCUGUCUCCCCCCUCCAUCUCCCUUUGCCUUUUUUUCUCCCAGACGGUCCCCCCAACCCUGUCUCUCCCUCCACCUCCCCAUCUAUCUCCCAUUCUCCUCUCAUCUCUCACUUGUUUGCUGUUCCAGAGACUGUCUCUGUCUCACAGGGGCUCCUCCCAUCUCCUGACCCCUUGCAGACCCUUGUGCCACCUGUCUGACUCAGAAGCUGACUGUCCCCUCUGUCCCCACCCUACGCCUGCUUGGUCUCAGAGCUCAGAACCAGCUGCCCACACUCAGGCGUGGCCCUGGCCUAGGACAGAUGAGGCCGGAUGAGGGCCAGCCGGCCGUCCUGGGAGCCCUCCAUGGCGACCAGCAGAUGAGCGCUGGACAGGCCCGGGAACCCCCUGCAUGCACACCUCCACCUCAGAGGGGCUUCGGGGACCCGUCCUAAUGCAGGGGUGUGUUCCUGCCUGAGCCAUGGGUGGCCCCACCCUCAGCAUCCCCAGGGGGAUGGCAGGCGUAAGUGAGGGGUCUGGGCUGGGGGUCUGCUCUCCCUCGGGCAACAGGGAACACCAGCAGGACUGACCUUGGGAAGCUGGCCAGGCUGACCUGCAGGAGGAAGGAAGCCAGAGAAAACCGGCUUGUCCCUGGGCUGAGGAAGACCUGGAGGAGAGAGGGGCACGAGCGUUGUACUUCCUCCCCGUGAACGCCUGUGAAGCUGCGAGGAGCAGGGCAAUGCCCAGGUGCCCUGGGGACACGGGGCUGGGGCUGGGAGACGCCCUUGCUGCAGGGGACAGGAUGCAGACAGCCCCAGAGAGAUAGGAGGCGAAUGCACGCUUUCCCAGAUGCCUCUUCCUUGUCAACUCCUGGCGAGCCCGGUCCUGAUCAGUGUGCCAGGCUGCUCCUAAGCCCUCUGGGGGGUCUGUGGACAGUCUCCUGCUAGGAAGAGGCUCUUCCACUUGGCUUGGCCUGGCCCAGAGUGCUCGGGGGCGGUUGGAGCUGAGUCCCAGGCCAUAUUCUGUCUGUCUCCCUGGAUCCCCAUUCUGGCCAAGAUCAGGACUAGACGUCUACACUCAGCCCGGCUCCACUGGUCAGUCCAAGGCCAGGGUCACACACAGAGACUCCUGGCUCUUGUGGACCUUGGCAGUGGGGAGCCCGGGCAGUGCCGACGCCUCCUGGAACUCCUUGGCCAUGUAGUAGUAGCAGAUGGCGUCCAGGCAGCAGUUGCUGUCCGAGAGCCUACUGGUGAUGUAGAGGGCCCGGCGGAUGACGCAGGUGGGCGGACUCGUGGCCAUGUACACCGUCAGCAUCACGUGCAAGGGCAGGAAGCAGACCACAAACACAACCAGGUUCGCCCAAACCAUGCGGGCAGCCUUCCGGCUGGCCUCCACCUGGCCCAAGUCAGCGGUCGGCCUCCGGCCCAGGGCGGUCACCACCUGCAGAGAGCAGAAGACCAGCACAACCAGCGGCGGGUAGAAGCCCAGCAGUGAGAAGACCGCGGUGUUGUAGUUUUGCUUGGAGAGGCUGGUGAAGCAGAAGCUGCCCUCCUGCAUCCCCAGGAUCCAGCGAAGCACCAGGGAGCCAACCACCAGCACCCAGAGCGCCAGGCACACGGCCAUGGCCUGCCGCGGGGAGCGGAGCCCGCGGACACGCAUUGGGUGCCGCACGGCCAGGUAGCGGUCCACGGCGAUGGCCAUGAUCAGGCUGAUGCUCAUGUACCUGUUGGCCAGAUAAAUGCCCUGGGAGAGCUGGCAGAACGGCGUGUCCUUGGUGGUGCUGUGCUUCAGGGAGUACAGCACGAACGGCAGGGUGCAGAGCAGGCAGAGGUCGGCCACGGCCAGGUUGGCCAUGUAGACGCGGGUCUCCGUCCACUGCUGCAUGCGGCAGCACAGCACCCAGAGCGCCAGGCUGUUGAGCAGCAGGCCCAGCACCAGCACCACGCCCGUGUAGGUGUAGAAGAUGCUCAUAACCGCCGGGGGCCAGCAGCGGCCCCCUGGGAACCUCCAGGCCACAGUCCAUCAGGGAAGCAGGAGUGCCCGCUUCAGCCAGAAACAGGAAUAUUCCACCAAAUCAUCCCAUCCCAGCUCUUGUGAGUUUUAAUGGCUCAUUUGCCAGCAAUUAGAGCUUCACGAAUGCUUUCCGUGGUGGGAAAUGUCUACACACCCCUCAGGAUUCUCUCUCUUUGUUUUUGAAAGAUUCUG